AUGUGGCUUUUCUCCUUUUUAUCUGCAUACAUAGUAAAUAAACAUGAUGGUUAAUUUCAUCUGCUUCCCCUUUUAAGCCACACUGCAGAAAAGAGGCAAAAGAAUGGGAUGGCAAGAUUUCCAACGCGUUACUUCAUAGACACAUAUAUUUUCCAACAUCAACUCCUGAGUGGUAUAAUAUAGAAUGCCUCAUUAGCAAUGGAAAUGGGCUUAAGUUUGUAGCAGGAAUGUUCUGAAUGUUUUUAGAUGUGGAAGAAGCUAGCAGCAGAGAUCAUAGAACCUCUCCCUCCCCCCCGGAGAAUGUCAGAACAAGUAAAAAAUUUCUGUUUAAUCCACAAAUUUCACAUAAGAGCUAUCCUCGUUUACUGGUGCUGCUUUUACUUCACUAAGGUCUCCCCAACACUUGUUCUUCCUUCUGCUUUUCUUUACUUGAAGAUGCCAUGUAAGAAAACGAAAAUGCCUCAGCUGGAAGGAGGAUGUGGGUGCUGCUUGAGUACUUGUACUGAAUUCAACCCAAUGUCUGGAAAACAUGGCGAGAUCACCACCAGCAAUGCAACUGCGAAACCUGACAGAAUUCCUUUCCUGGCCACGCGCACUGCUCACUACCACAGGUGUGUUUGAGCAUCAAGUAUCUGCUCAUUCUUACUUAUGCCAAAAGUCCCAACUCAUCCCAGGUGGCUCAGCUAAAAGUGCAUCCAUUCAGUCAGCA